AUUGAACGCUGGCGGCAUGCUUUACACAUGCAAGUCGAACGGCAGCGCGGGCUUCGGCCUGGCGGCGAUUGGCGAACGGGUGAGUAAUACAUCGGAACUUGCCCAGUAGUGGGGGAUAGCUCGGCGAAAGCCGGAUUAAUACCGCAUACGACCUUUGGGUGAAAGCGGGGGAUCUUCCGACCUCGCGCUUUUGUAGCGGCCUAUGUCAGAUUAGCUAGUUGGUGGGGUAAAUGCCUACCAAGGCGACGAUCUGUAGCUGGUCUGAGAGGACGACCAGCCACACUGGGACUGAGACACGGCCCAGACUCCUACGGGAGGCAGCAGUGGGGAAUUUUGGACAAUGGGCGAAAGCCUGAUACAGCAAUGCCGCGUGUGUGAUGAAGGCCUUCGGGUUGUAAAGCACUUUUGGCGGGAACGAAAAGGACUGUGCCAAUACCACGGUUCGAUGACGGUACCCGCAGAAUAAGCACCGGCUAACUACGUG
rnacentral:rRNA from 1 species